AUGUAAUUUGAUGUUUAAGUUCUAAUCACGGUCGGUGAGGCCUCGUUCUUUGCAUUGUAUUUAACUAUUUAUGGAUAUCAGAGAGAAUCACUUUGCCCCCAGACUUUCGGUAGAUCUUUUGUGGUGAACCAUGCAGAUUGCAGAUUUUUGUCAAAGUGUCCUCCGUAGUUUCAGAAAUGCGUCAAACGAGGACUGAUUCCGUCUGAACUCCGUUGGGCUAUGAAGGUUAAUGAAAGUUCAGACGGCAUUUAUGAAACCUUUGGGCCCUUUGACGAAAAUCUACAUAGGUCUCGCAAAGUAGAUUUACCG